CCCUUAGAUGUCCGGGGCCGCACGCGCGCUACACUGACACAGGCAACGAGCUUUCCUUUACCGAAAGGUAUGGGUAAUCUUUUGAAACUGUGUCGUGCUGGGGAUAGAUCCUUGCAAUUUUUGAUCUUAAACGAGGAAUUCCUAGUAAGCGCGAGUCAUCAACUCGCGUUGAUUACGUCCCUGCCCUUUGUACACACCGCCCGUCGCUACUACCGAUUGAAUGGCUUAGUGAGGCCUCAGGAUCCGCGCUUAAUGUGUGGAGAAUUUGGACAAACUACGUCAUUUAGAGGAAGUAAAAGUCGUAACA
rnacentral:rRNA from 1 species